CCUACGGGAUGCAGCAGUGGGGAAUAUUGGACAAUGGGCGAAAGCCUGAUCCAGCCAUUCCGCGUGUGUGAAGAAGGCCUUCGGGUUGUAAAGCACUUUCAGUGGGGAAGAAAGCCUUGGGGCUAAUACCCUCGAGGAAGGACAUCACCCACAGAAGAAGCACCGGCUAACUCCGUGCCAGCAGCCGCGGUAAUACGGAGGGUGCGAGCGUUAAUCGGAAUUACUGGGCGUAAAGCGCGCGUAGGCGGUCUGAUAAGCCGGUUGUGAAAGCCCCGGGCUCAACCUGGGAACGGCAUCCGGAACUGUCAGGCUAGAGUGCAGGAGAGGAAGGUAGAAUUCCCGGUGUAGCGGUGAAAUGCGUAGAGAUCGGGAGGAAUACCAGUGGCGAAGGCGGCCUUCUGGACUGACACUGACGCUGAGGUGCGAAAGCGUGGGUAGCAAACAGGAUUAGAUACCCUGGUAGUC
rnacentral:rRNA from 1 species